UGAACUCUCAAAGCCCACGUUUUGACGUGGGCUUUGGACUUGAGGGCUUUUGCAGGCUUUUGAUCAGAAAGCCUGCUCCCUUGAAAAUCAUCUGGAGCGGAAACCGCUAGGUGUUGAUAACAUUCAUCUAUGCCUUUGGGUAUGCCGCGUAACAUGUGCUGCUUCCAACCGCCCCAUGCUCUUUGACAA
rnacentral:misc_RNA from 1 species